rnacentral:lncRNA from 10 species
AGCAGUGAGAGGAUAUUACGUUGCAGAAUUUGGUCAGAAUAUGAAGUUUGGAAGACCCUAUAUUCCUGCAGAUCCUUGGAUUGAGGUUAAUUCGAGAGCAAGCCGUGAGUGAGAAAUCUGCCAUCAAAACCAAGUCACUGGCCCUACCACAUUUGCUACAACUCUGAUAUUCCACAUUUUACAAAGUUCAUGUCUAGCUGCUUCAUGUCAGAACGCUAGAACUCUGUACGAUGCCUUGCAGAAAUCUCACUUGUGGGAGCAGACAGAAUGGACAGGCUGUAUGAAUUCCUCAUAAGUAGCGUGGAGACCUUGGGCCUCCCCAGCCUUGCUUAAUAAUUUCAUGGAGUAGAGAUGACGGAUGCCAGCUCACAGAUUUGUUUUGAGUGCUAAAUGCAGAGCAACCAGCCUUGGAGAGCUUCUUGGGAAUCUUUGGUUCCUCUUGCCCUUUCAGGAAAGGAUGAAUGUGUGUAAACAAAGAAACAAAAUUUGAGCAGGUUUGAGGCUGCAGGGUGAAGGCAUUUCUUUCAGUUGGCUCUGGGAGCACCUGCAGACCUCGAAUCCUUCACUCUUCCUCCUUUCUUCCAAGAACUCACUACGCUUUCCAUCCUCCUUUCCUCCAUGAGACAAAGCACCCUCCAGAAUGAUGCUAAGUGCAGUACCUCCAUGCUCAAAAGCUGCUGAUAUCAACAUUGGCCUGUUAAUAAAAUAUGGAACCUUCAGACUGACUCUCCAGGUUCUAUGUGCACGCCAGCUUGGGCACAGUCCUCACCGCUGCCCGGCGGGUCCUCCCUGUCCUUACCAAACUGUGCUGCUUGCCAUCCUCUGAAUAUGGCCCCACAUGUGCUUCUGCUCUGCCCAGCCAUCCACUGGAGGGGUAUCUCAUCGUCCCACCUCCGCCCAAGGAAAACCUGCCUGCUCUCAGAACCUGCCUCAGUCCGUCAGGUUGAUGAAGUCUAAUUUGGUUCAGCUUUCAGAGAUUCCUGGUAGUUUUAAACUGAAAAGUUCAUAAGUGUUGUGGGGGCCAUUGCCAUUUCACCUCGGAGAUGAGAUAACUGAUGUUCAGAUCUAAAAGAUUCUAAGAGAGUCGCACUCUGCUAAGUCCCAUAGCAUUUUAGGGAAAACUACUAAAUAUAUUGAAGAUACUUGUGUACAUUUAUUAGUUCCUGUUAUGGGCCGAAUUUUGUCUCUCUUCUCCGGGUAAAUUCAUGUUUGAAGCCCUAAUUUCAAUGUGACUGUAUUUGGAUAUACAGCCUUUAAAGGGUGUAAUUAAGGCUAAAUAGGUUCAUAAGGGUGGGGCCUAAUCCAAUAGGACUGAUAUCCUCAUAAGAAGAGGAAGAGACCUCAGGGACGCUUGAGCACAGAGGAAAGGCCACGUGAGGGCAGACAAGGCAGCAUCUGCCAGGCAAUGAGAGAGGCCUCAGGAGAAACUGCAGGCACCUUGAUCCUGGACUUCCAGACUCCAGAACUGUGAGAGAAUAAAUGUCUGUUGUUUAAGGACCCCAGUCUGUGAUACUCAUUAUGGCAGACCUAGUUGACAAAUACGGCUCACCUAUGAAAUGUAAAGCUCCAUCAUGCAGUCUUUGAAUCUCCCAGGGUUCUGAGAUAUGAUUUAAUAAAUAUUUGUAGAAUGACAA